CUCUUUAAUGAUAACUUACUUUAUUAAAGUUUUAACUCUGCUAAAAACGCUUUUGAGGAUAAGCUCAAAAGCGAUAUUUGGGGGGCGCACAUAAAAAUUUAACUGUGUAAGCCUAAAAUUAGCUACCACGAAAGUUUGUUACAAAAUAGUUAUAUUUAAUAAAAAAAUUAUUAUGCUUUUUCGCCAAACACCAAUGAAGAUAAAAGUUAAAAUUAUUUAACUUUAUGCCUAUGCUAGGAUGAGUAUCAUACCUUAUUUAGCCGCGGGAAAAUUACUAUUUCCUGCCCUAUAAACAAGUUAGUAAUACUAAUUGAAAAAAAGGAAUUCAGCAAAUUUUUGCUCCGCCUGUUUAUCAAAAACAUGGCUCCCCGCUCAAGCAAAAUGGGGAGUCGGACCUGCCCAGUGAAAUUUUCAACGGCCGCGGUACUCUGACCGUGCAAAGGUAGCGUAAUCAUUUGCCUUAUAAUUGAAGGCUAGUAUGAAUGGUUUGACGUGAGCAAUACUGUCUCUUUUUUAUUUUUUAAAAAUUAACUUUUAGGUGAAGAGGCCUAAAUAAAAUUAAAGGACAAGAAGACCCUGUCGAGCUUAAAAGACAAAAUAGGGAUUAAUAUCUGAGAAAUACACUUCUAUCAAGCUUUUUAGUUGGGGCGACUAAGGAACAAACAAAGCUUCUUUCAAAAAAUUAUGCAAAUUAGCUUAGAUCCAGUACCACUGAGCAAGAAAAUUAGUUACCGCAGGGAUAACAGCAUAAUCUCUCUUGAGAGACCUAAUCGAAAGGGGGGGUUGUGACCUCGAUGUUGGACUAGAAUAUCCGAAAGAUGCAGACGUCU
rnacentral:rRNA from 1 species